UUACUUUGAGGUAUGAUGGACAAAUCUUACAGGUACACAAGGAAAAGUAAGACAUGAUCGCAGUGAAAAGUGAAGACAAUCUAACCAGAAAGCUUUCAGCUAAUGUGGAAGCUGAAGUUCUGAGUGGGACAUGCUUCAGGGCUGAAAGGAAUGGUAAUUAAUGUUCCUCCCCUUCUUCUUCACUCUCUCCUUCAACAAAAUCCACACCCACUUUAUAAUCCUUCUCAGGGGCAGCCGUGUCCUCACAGGUCUCAGAAAACUCUCCUUCCUUCAUACUCUCACCCGUAUACCACUGAACAAAAGCACGCUUGGCAUACAUCAGGUCAAACUUGUGGUCCAGACAAGAUCAGACCUCAGCAAUGGCUCUGGUGUUGCUCAGCGUGCACACAGCUCUCUGUACUUUGGCCAGGUCUCCACCAGGUACCACAGGCUGGUAAUUAAUGCCAACUUGGAAGCCAGUGCUGCACGAGCCCACAAACUGGAUGGAAUGCUUGGUCUUGAUGGUGGCAAUGGCAACAUUGACACCUUUGGGAACACAUUGCCACGGUACAACAGGCAGAAAGCCAUGUAGUUACCAUGCCAAAGGGCACAUUUCACCUGGUUGGCUGGUUUGAAGCAUGCAUUGUUGAUCUCUGCUACAGAAAACUGUUCAUUGUAGGCUUUCUCAGCAGAGAUGACAGGAGUAUUUGUGGGUAGGGGAAGUGGAUGUGAGGAUAGGGCACCAGGUUGGUCUGGAAUGUUGUCAGAUCAACAUUCAGGGCUCCAUCUAAUCUGAGGGAAGCAGUGAUGGAAACACACUCUGGCUAAUAAGGCAAUGAAGUUAGUGUAGGUUGGGUGUUCAAUAUUGCACUUUCUAUGGCAGAUGUCAUACAUGGCCUCAUUGUCUACCAUG
rnacentral:lncRNA from 1 species